rnacentral:rRNA from 1 species
GAUGAACGCUGGCGGCGUGCCUAAUACAUGCAAGUCGAGCGAACAGAUGAGGAGCUUGCUCCUCUGACGUUAGCGGCGGACGGGUGAGUAACACGUGGAUAACCUACCUAUAAGACUGGGAUAACUUCGGGAAACCGGAGCUAAUACCGGAUAAUAUAUUGAACCGCAUGGUUCAAUAGUGAAAGACGGUUUUGCUGUCACUUAUAGAUGGAUCCGCGCCGCAUUAGCUAGUUGGUAAGGUAACGGCUUACCAAGGCAACGAUGGGAAGCCGACCUGAGAGGGGGAUGGGGCCCACUGGGGCUGAGACGCGGUCCAGGCUCCGACGGGAGGCCGAGGUAGGGAAGCGUCCGAGAAGGGCGAAAGCUUGACGGAGGAGCGCAGGGCUGGUGAUGAGAGGCUGCGGAUCGGAUGACUCUGUUAGGGGUGUAGACCAAUUGUGUAAGUGACUAUGCACGUCUUGACGGUACCUAGUCAGGAAGCCACGGCUAACUACGUG